CGCCGCCGCCGCCACCCCACCCCCUGCCAAGCCCCCCUCAGCGCAGCCUGGACGACAACCGCGCUUCGAGAGGGCAGAACAACAUCCACUGCCUGUCUUCCGCACAGAGGGAUACUCGCGAUUUUGUACUUGGAUCAUCUAGCCACAUCUAUACAGGUACUUCAACGCUCGUUGGCGAGCGAGAAAAAUGCGCCAGCGAACCGUCGUCACAGGCAAGGUGGUGAGGGACAAGAGCGGUGCCGCGGCCGAACUCUCUUCCAGCGAGCACACCCAGGUUGCGUUGUCGGCGUUUAGUUUUUUGUUUUCGGAGUUGUGUGUACGCGCCUACACGUUCCCGACAAAGGUGAAGAACGUCGAGGAGGUGGAGGCCCGCUUGACCUCUCUUGGCGCGCACGUUGGGACUCGUCUUAUCAUGCUCUCCUCUGUCCGCGACCCCGUCGACCUGCAGCGCCGCCCGCUAACGAUUGACGCGGUCCUGAAGUUGCUGCAGGAGAAGCUCUGGGCACGCUGGUUUGGCCGUCCCGCCAGCGAAAUCCAGCGUGAGAGCAACUCAGAUCGCUUCUUCCUUUUCGACAGCGACCCUAUCGUUCUCCGCCACGUCCACCCAUCCCCAGACUACGUGGACAGCGAAGGCCGGUGGAACGUGAACUACGCCGGAUUCAUGGGCGGCAUCAUUCAAGGAGCACUGCAGUCAAUGGGCUUUGAGGCGGAGGUGCAGACAUAUCAUCAGCCGGAGCCCGGGAAGCCUCACCAGUCGCUGUUCGUGAUUGCUUUUGCGAAGCACGUCUGGGAUCGGGAGCGGAAGAUGCGAACCUGACGGCCCCGUGCUGAUCGCGUGGUGCGUGUGUGAGUAAGCGGCUCGCCUUCGGCACCGAGCUUCCGUUGGCGCUUCGGUGCUUUGCCUUGUGGUUUGUGCUUGUGUCGUGUCUGGCACGUGCUACGCCACGCACGCCUCUGUGGCACAGACAGAGGAAGCUGCCUCUCGCUCUCUUGCCUGAUGGAGCUGAUUACCUUACUCCUUCCUUGCAGAGGCUCGGCAUGUAUGUGAGUGUGCUGGGGCUUAUUUGCCUGCUGUGACUGUAUGCCCCCCCCCUCCCCGCCGCGAAAAGAGGCACCGGGCAUUGUGUUGGCCGAUGCUGUGCCCUUCUGUAGAACCAAGCUCCUUGUGUUUUGGCUUGCUUGGCUCUCCCCUCGCCCCAUCGGAAGCUCUACUGAUCCGAACGAAAAUCUUUAGCGGCGUUGACAUACGGAGGUACGUCGCGGGCUGCCGAAGCGAUUUGCUGGGGUUUUUCUCCGGCUCUUGCCGUGCUGCCUCGCUUUCGCGCCUCUUGCGUCGCCUAGCGGCUCUGCUUCAGAGAGAUGAAGGCGCAAGUGCCCGCCACUGAGCCAGCUGUGCUCUUUGAUGCUGCAGUGAAUUUCAUCACGUAAAACAUCAGGAAAGGGGGAACACGAUGCGCUCUCCUUCGCUGAAAAAGAACAAGUCAAAGGACGCCGUGCUGGUUGGCCUUCCUCCCGCUUGCUGUUCUCACCAAACAUGCUUCCCCGCAUCUCCGAGAGCCUAUCCAACUGCUUCGUUUCACCAUUGCCUCUCUAAAGUUCACACCCACCCACCCACCUCUGCACAAAUGACCGAUCUUGUGUACCCUCUGCACCCUCCCCUGCCCCUGUUCUCCUCACACUCAAUCAAAACAAAACAAAAAG
rnacentral:misc_RNA from 1 species